rnacentral:rRNA from 1 species
UACGUAGGGUGCGAGCGUUAAUCGGAAUUACUGGGCGUAAAGCGUGCGUAGGCGGUUCGUUAAGUUCGUUGUGAAAGCCCCGGGCUCAACCUGGGAAUGGCAAUGGAAACUGGCGGGCUGGAGUAUGGCAGAGGGGGGUGGAAUUCCGCGUGUAGCAGUGAAAUGCGUAGAGAUCGUAAGGAAGACCAGUGGCGAAGGCGAGUUUCUGGACAGGUACUGACGCUGAGGCACGAAGGCCAGGGGAGCAAACGGG